UGUCAGGCAUUUCACAGGGCCGUCCUUAGGAUUUAUGGGGCCCUACGCAGUAUUACUAAACUGGUGCCCCUAUGCCGGAUGGCAGCCCGGGCUCACAGCCCGGGGGGGAGGGACAAGGCAGCAAAUGAUACCGAGACACCUGGCCCACCUCAUGGCGGCAGAGUCACAGUUACCUACAGAGACCCCAGUACCCUUUGUCUCACGCAGAAUGCAUGGCGCUGGCGCAUUCAGCUCUAUGAAUAUGGCCCCUGCCUAAGGAGAUUGCAGUGC